rnacentral:lncRNA from 1 species
GAGCAACUUAUCAUCUGAAUAGUAGACACCAGGGACAACAAUGGCAGGGCAAAAUGCAAGUUGUUCAUUCUCUGCAAAGAAGUUAUCAAUGUUUUUAUUCAGAACCAGACGGCCAACUGGCUGCAGAGGAAGAAUAUCUUCAGGCCAGGUCUUAGUUACAUCAAGUGGAUCAAAGUCAAAUCUGUCCUCAUGAUUGGGAUCAAUUGUCUGAAUAUAAAGUUUCCACUCAGGGUAGUUGCCAGCUGCAAUGGAAUCAUAGAGAUCCUUGGUAGCAUGGCUGUGAUUAGCUCCUCCAACCUUAAUAGCUUCAUCCUCCAACAAACACUUGACUCCACACGUAGGUUUCCAAUGAAAUUUCACAUACUGUACUUUCCCCGCCUUAUUGAUAAGGGUAUAGGUGUUAACACCAGAGCCUUCCAUGUGCCUGUAAUCUUGUGGAACUCCCAGAUCAUCAAAUAGGAAGGUGAACAUGUGCAGGCUUUCUGGGUGGUGGGAGAAGAAGUCAAGGAUCCUCCAAGGCUCUUGAAUGUGCGACUUGGGGUUCGGUUUGAGAGCAUGGACCAUGUCCGGGAAUUUCAUUCCGUCACGAACAAAAAAGACAGGGAAAUUGUUUCCAACCAGGUCAAAAUUACCCUGUGUUUAAGAACAAAGUCGCCACAUGAGUACUAACAACACAGCAAAAUAAACCUGAAUAAAGUUGUAUAUAGUGAAUAAUAAUGUUACCAAGAAAUCAACCAUCUGUAUAAGCAUCUAGAUUACAGAUGGUAUGCUACAUGAGCAAUCUUUUACAGCCAGGUGACUACCCCCAUUAGUAAACGAAAAUGAAAAGGCAAAGAAAAGAAAGGAAUGAAUGCAAUCUUUCAUCAAAGUCACAAGACUGCAUAAUUUCCAACAACUAUAAUUAGUCAAAUAUGAAUUGAGUACUUCAUAUUUUGUCACCACAGCCACCUCAGCUGCCACUACAGACACCAAUACAUAUCCACUAAAUAUGCCUAUGCUAUUGAAAAUAAAAAUAAAAUUAACACAUUGAUAAUAUAAAGGUAAAAACCUCACCUCUCUGGUGUAAAACUUCACUGCAAAACCACGAGGAUCCCUCAGGGUUUCAGGGCUGCCACGCUCAUGGAUAACAGUGGAGAAACGCACAAUGACAGGUGUCUGAACACCGGGGGCUCGAAGGAAGUCAGCACAUGUAAGCUGAGAAAUAUCAUGAGUGACCUCGAAGAAUCCCUUCGCACUGGCUCCCCUAGCAUGGACAACACGCUCUGGGAUUCGUUCUCUAUCAAAGUUGGCAAGUUUCUCCACCAGAUGAUAGUCCUCAAGGAGAAUUGGGCCUGACAAAUAGACACAGAAAUUUAAUUCGGAACUGCACCGACUCAACUCACCAUAUUUAAGCAUCUAGAUUACAUGCAAAUAUAGGAUAAAAAUGAAAUUAGUUGUUAUACAUUCCAGAACAUCAAAUAAAGAUGAUUGCUGCUCAGUUGCAAAUAUUCGUAAUUUUUAUUUACAUUUAGAAGGUAGGUUUUCAGACAACCAGAUGAUCAAAAAACCCAUCUUGACAAACCAAAAGGAGGCUGGAGGAAUUAAAAGAGAACCAACAGUGCGGGAGAAUCAUUUUUCAACUAAAGUAAGCAUAAAAUUUUAAAAUAAAUGUCAAUAGGAAAAGGAUCAGCUUCAAAUACAAGAUAUAUAAGUAUAUAUACAUAUCUUAAAUCCCACAAGCGUUUCCAAAGAUUAAUCAUCCUCAACAUGGUAGUGGUGGGAAUAACAUCCAAAAAGCAGUUUACAGCUCAUAAUCACAUGAAUAUCAAAAUCUUGUUCAGAAAAGUUGAGAAAACCAUCACAAAAAUUCAAAACCCAGGUAAGCGAAGAACCAAUGAUAACAAAGAUGAAUAUAUACACACAAAUAGUGAAUAGCAUCAUAAGAUAGAUUGAACAUGAAGCGCAACUAAAAAAACAAUAAAAUAUAAAAUAUAAACUGUGUUGCAAUUGAAAAGCCAGCAUCAAUCAACGAAGAGUUGUGAUGAAUUACCUCUAGAUCCAACAGUCAAAGAAGAGUUGUUGUUCCAAACAGGAGCACCGGAGUUUGUGGUCCAGAAUGGGGAAUCAAAAGCACUUGAAGGGCGGUACUGCAACAUACACAACGAAAACGAAACAAGACCAUGAUGAGCUAAAAGAACAACAAACACAAAAUUUCGAGCUACGCUUAAAUGACCAAUCUGAUUGAUCAAGAAGAUUAAUUCAUCAAGAAAUCAAACUUAAACAAAUCAAGAGAUAUUAUAACAGGGAAAUGAGUACCUUGUAAGGAUCCAUGGAGAAAGAGGGGGAAGGAGGAGUUUGAUAAGAAGGUGAGAGAGCAGAGCAAAGCCACCCAAAGGGAGGGUCGUGUGGCAAAUGAGAAUCGAAGAGCGAAAUGUGAAAUUGGGGAAUUUAUAAACACUUGCGGGUCGUGGGCGUGGCUCGCGCUUCUGCGCAAAUUACCAAUCUCAGCAGGUUAUCUUUAUCCACACACAGAGUGGGAGGUCAAGAGAAGAGAAGACAUAUCUUUGCCAAUUUAGCGUCGCGAGUCAGAACGAUUCUCGCCAAACCUGUCAACGAAGCAUUCUUGUAUGCACAAUUGUGGCAAAACGUCCUUCACUCACUUCAAAUCUUUUACAACCAAUUUUAUGAGGAGGGAUUUUUUUACAAAAAAAAUAAAAAAUUAUACAAUUUUAUGAGGAGAUGGUAUGCAACAAAAAAACAGAGGGGAUUCAGAUUUUUUUUUUUUAAUGGAAAUUAUUGUCCAAAAACAAAAGAAACAUUGAAGAAAUUGAGAGUUCAAUUUAAAAGUAAAAGAGAUCAUUAAAAUGAGUAAAAGAGACUAGAAACACCAUAAUUGACUGUGUAAUUAUAAAAUAUAUGGAGUCGUUUUUUUAUUUUUCAAAUUUUGUGAACAUAUUAUCCCUAAAUAAUGAACACAAAAAUUGAUUUAAAUAUAAUGUUGGUGUUGAUUGCAAUUAAUAAUAGCUAACUAUAGAGAUUUGAUUGAAACAAUUAAAACAUUUCACCACGACAACAAGGUCAAGAAUGCAAGUUGUUUAUUAUUAUGAAUUGGUUUCAAGACGAACAAUUUAACAACAAAUUCCAAACCUCUAUAUUUAGGAUUCAUGCAUUUAUCUACAUUUUAUGAAACUAAGUUGCUCAAAUAAUCUAACCAUUUAACAUGACACAUCAUCAAUUUUUAACCUAAGAUUUUUUUAAAAAAAAAUUGAAGUUAAUUUUAAAGUUAACGUGCUUGAGGGGUUUUUUUUUUCAUCAUGCUUCCUCCUUGAGAAAACUGUGAAUAAAAUUAAUUAAUUGCUACUUAUCUUCAGCUUAUAUAUUGAACCCUAAAGCAUAAAGCGAACUUCAAAACUUUAAUUUUUUGGCCACACAAACUUGAGCAAAGUAUGUCUUAUCUUUUUCACAAGAUUAUUCACUCUCAUUCUAAAUUCAUCGUGAUAUGUUAAGAAAUAACAAGUUUCACGAUGAACUAAAAAAGAACUCUCAAGCACGUUAACAUUAACGUUAGCAUAAGUUUUUGGAAAGAACGAAAAAGACCUUAAUUUAAAGAUUGAUGAUAUGUCAUAUGAAUGGUUAAAUUAUUUAGUUUAAAUUUUACGAAAUAUAAAUAAAUACACGGAUUCUAAAUAUAGAAAUUUGAUAUUCAUUUGCCAUAAAUAUCACUUUAAGAGUGAAAAUCCAGAAUACUAAACUAAAAUUAUAUUUCUUCACAAAAAUUGCAUCUAAAGAUGAGGAUAAAUUGAUGUUCAUCCGGACAUUGAAAAAGCACAAUAUAUCGUGAAGAUAUUCGAUAUAUUGAAAACCUCGCCGAUAUUCAUGUAGGAAGGCUAAACGAUUUUUUUAUGGCAAAAACUUCAACAACAACAACAAAAAAAGAGGCCUGGAAAAUUAUUAUUAUCAUAAUCGUGGUGGGAAUUCAAAAUUGAAAAUAAUUGAGAACGUCAUGCAUUCAUCGUUCGUUAUCCAGGUCUUGGAGCUUUGCUAACACCUAGGCGCAACCACUUAAGGCAGUGGCGGGUAUGGGUGACGUGGUCCACUCACAAGACGCCACGACCACCAAAGUGUACCUUGAAACGCGUGCUCUUAGAAAAUAGCACAGAGAUUCUCUCUCUCAGGGGAUAUGCUUGAAAUUUAUGAACAAAACAGAAGGAAAAAUAAAAACAAACAAGAGGCUAUUUUUGGUGUUGUCUGUGUGAAAGCCGCCAAAACAGCAAAUAUGCUGAUAAGGUUAGAAUGGGCCGAGCUCAGAUUAGCCACAAAGACUGUUCCUCUCUGGGCCCACUUAUCAAUAUUUUAACAUUUUUUUUAAUGGAGCUCGACAAUGAACAAAUUUUGAAGGUAAUUACUUGAUGUUAGUUAGAGAACCUCUAUGUCUAAGGGAACUACGAGUUCAAGGAAGCUUUGAGGUAUGCUCAUGUGACCCUACUUCUUGUUCUUUAUGCAUAAACAUAUUCAAGUUGCAUGUUCAAGGCUUGCCAUCUAAUCAUUAUAUAAUAUUUUGAUCAUCUAUUAUAAAAAUAUAAAAAAAACUAUGUAACUGGGCCUUGGUGCAAUAAGAACUUAAGCAUUAGCUUCAUGUAUGUAGGAAAAGUAGCAAAUAAUUUCAAUUGUAAAAUGAAUGCUUUGGUUUCUUUUCUUGUUAAUGCCGUUUGACUGGUUGUUUUGUCUUAGUGGUUCUUUGACCUCUCUUUGGUCUUUUUAUUGAAAGUUAUGUUGAGAAACUGAAAUUAACUUAAACGUAAAAGGAUUUUUUGAGUAAACAUAUUUCACAGCAUAAGAAUACUGCAGUUUUCCUCUCUUAUAUAUAUCUGAAAAACAAAGCUUACAAAAUAACAAUCUCCACAAUAACCACUAACACACAAGUGCAGAUUUUGUGGAGUUCAACUACCUUAAGCAACGGAAGCAAAUUUGAACGUGGUGAACAGACUAAACCACAACUUCUACAUUCUAGGACUUCAGCUUGACUUGGUCUCUACAUGGCCAUGUCAGCAUUAUUUAAUUAAAAAACUAAUUAAACUUAACUAAAUAACUUUUAACACCCUCCCUUAAACUGAUUUUUACGAAAAACAGUUUAGGAUCUCUACACCAUCACAUAAUCAUCUUCCUGUUCAAUGCUUUGAAAUGAACAAACUCCCAACAUGCUUCUCAGCUUCUCAAGCGCAGGUACCAUCACAUAAUCAUCUUCCUGUUCAAUGCUUUGAAAUGAACAAACUCCCAACAUGCUUCUCAGCUUCUCAAACGCAGGUUGCUUCAAAGGCUUAGUUAAGAUGUCUGCAACCUGCUCCCCACUCUUGCAAUAUUCAAGUACAAUCUUCCCAUCACUGCACAGGUCACGCAAAAAAUGAAAACGUACAUCAAUGUGUUUACUUCUCCCAUGCAUGACUGGAUUCCUCGAUAGCUUUAUAGUUGACAUGUUGUCGCAGUAGAUGGUUGUUGGUCCCUUUUGAACAUCACCAAGCACUUCAAAUAUUUUCCUAAGCGACAUAGCUUGACAGGAGCUUGCAGCUGCUGCUACAUAUUCAGCUUCUGUUGAGGAAAGUGUCACAAUUUGUUGCUUCUUUGAGGACCACGAUAUUGCACCAGAGUUGAGCAGAAAUGUGUGACCGGAAGUGCUCUUACGAUCAUCUAUAUCACCUGCAUAGUCACUAUCUGUGUACCCAACAAAACCAGAACCAUCUUCCCUUUUAUAAAACACACCAUAAUCAAUUGUCCCCUUUACAUACCUGAGAAUUCUCUUUGCUGCAUUGAGAUGCAUUUCAGUUGGUUUUUCCAUAUAUCGGCUCACAAGACUCACUGCAUACAUGAUGUCAGGCCUCGUGUAUGUUAAAUACAUGAGACUCCCAAUUAUCUGUUUAUAGAAAGUGCUGUCAACCUCCUUUCCACCUUUGUCUUUGCAUAGCUUUAAGCCAUGUUCAGCUGGAGUUCCAAAUGGCUUGCAGUCAUCCAUCUGAAACCUGUUAAGAAUGUCCUGUGCAUAUUUUUUCUGGUAGAUGAAAUUACCAGCAGUAGUUUGAAUGACUUCCAAUCCAAGAAAAUAGUGCAUUAAUCCUAGAUCAGUCAUUUCAAACUCCAUCAUCAUAGACUUCUUGAAUUCAUCAAACAUUUUAGCAUCACUUCCAGUGAAUAUCAAGUCAUCAACAUACAAGCAUACCAUGAGUAUUUUACCUUCUUCCUCAGUCUUGACAUAAAGUGUGUGCUCAAAAGGACAUUUGUGAAAUCCAAGCUUAGCAAAGUGAGCAUCUAUGCGACUGUACCAAGCUCGAGGUGCUUGUUUCAGUCCAUAGAGUGUUUUCUUCAGUUUGAACACCUUCUCUUCUUCUCCUUUUCUCUCAUAACCAGGUGGUUGAUCAAUGUACACCUCCUCUUGCAGGUUUCCAUGCAGGAAUGCUGACUUCACGUCUAACUGAAAAAUUUGCCAGGAAUUUUGAGCUGCAAGAGAGAUCACUAACCUAAUCGUGUCGUGCCUCGCAACUGGGGCAAACACCUCUUUGUAAUCAAUGCCAUGCUUCUGCUUGUAGCCCUUAGCUACCAAACGAGCUUUGUGCUUGUCAACCUCACCUUUUUCGUUCAACUUUGUUCUAAACACCCAUUUAACACCAAUGGUUUGCUUUCCCUUUGGAAGAUCAGUUAACUCCCAGGUUUGAUUCUUCUCAAUGGACUUGAUUUCAUUGUCCAUUGCUUCCCUCCAUUUCUCCUCUUUAACAGCCUCAGUAUAUGUGAUUGGAUCACUAUCUACAAGUAAUGCAAAGUGAGCAUUUUCAUCAUCAGAACUUGAAUAACUUACAUCGUAGUCCAUCAUCCAUGCUGGCCUCUUCCUUGAGUUCUCAUCUCUCAAAUUGUAUCUCUCUUCUUCAAACUGUUGAGAUGACUGAACUUCAAGUUGAGGUGGCUGCUGGGCUUGAGUUUCAGGAGCUGCUACCUCUUCAUUGUCUAAAUCAUCAUAAACUGGAAUUUGUUGUUGAACCGAUCUGUUCUCAGACCAAUUCCACAUAGUGUCUUCAUCAAAUAUCACAUCCCUGCUUACCACUAUCUUCUUUGUAACUGGAUUGUACAGUUUGUAUGCUUUUGAGACUUCACUUACACCAAGAAAAACACAUUUUUCACUUUUGUCAUCCAACUUCUUUCUUUUCUCAUCGGGGAUGUGUGCAUAUGCUAUGCACCCAAACACCCUAAAGUGAUCAACCGCAGGCUUCAAUCCACUCCAAGCUUCUUGAGGAGUCAUAUUCUUAACAGAAAAUGUGGGACUUCUGUUUAAAAUAUGAACUGACCAUAGCACAGCUUCAGGCCAAAACUUCUUGGGAAUUCUUCCUUUGACUAGCAGACUUCGAACCAUGUUGAGAAUGGUGCGAUUUUUCCUCUCACUUACACCAUUUUGUUGUGGUGUAUAGGCAGUGGUCAACUGUCUCUUGAUGCCUUUCUCUUUGCAAAAUGCAUCAAAUUCCUUCGAACAGUACUCUCCCCCACGGUCAGUUCUUAGAGUUUUAAUCUUCUUUUCUGAUUCAUUUUCAACUAGAGCUUUGAAGCUUUUGAAUGCUUCAAAUGCCUCUGAUUUUUCCUGCAAGAAAUAUACCCAUGUCUUUCUACUAAAAUCAUCAGUAAAGGAGAUGAAAUAUUUCUUGUUACCAUUUGAGAUGGGAUUUAUUGGUCCACAUAGAUCAGAGUGAACCAUCUCCAGGAUUUAUUGAGCCCUUGCUGCCUUGCCACUUGGAAAAGAGUCUCUUUUGUGCUUCCCAGUGAUGCAUUCUUCACACAUCUUUGAUGGAGGAGUUAUAUCAGGUAAGCCAGUGACCAUCCCUUUCUGGUGAAGUGUUCUCAAGCCAUUAAAAUUCAAAUGGCCAUAUCUGUAGUGCCAUCUCCACGGGUCAUCUUCUUUGGCAAAUAAGCAAGCCUGCAGAGUCUUGAUUUUCAAAGGAAACAAUCUGUUGGAAGACAUUUUCACAACAGCAAUGGACCCUCUUUUUGGGUCGUACACUUCCCACUCUCCUUUAUAGAUUGUAAUCCUAUAGCCUUUAUCUUGUAACUGACCAGCACUCAGCAAAUUUGUCUUCAAAUCAGGAAUAUAAAAAACAUUUGAGAUAGUUUCAAUAAAGUCAUUUUUAGUUUUGAUUUGAAUAUCUCCCUUACCCAUCACUUUCACUGUUGACUUGUCACCAAAACUCACUACCGUGUGAAAGCUUUCAUCCAAAUUAAUAAAGGAAGACUUACAUCCACUCAUGUGAUUGCUGCAGCCUGUGUCCACAUACCAUGUCUCCUGAUCAGUUUUUGUCAGUGCAUGAAAAGCCAUCAAAAGUGUCUCUUCCUCCUUCUUUUUCUCCACAAAAUUUGACUUUUCUCCUUUUUCUUUUGGUAACUUCGUGUAGCACUCAUUCUUGUAGUGCCCAAAAUUUCCACAUCUAUAACACUCCACUUUUGACUUAUCAAAGUGGUACGUUCCUUUUUCUUCAAAGUCAUCAUCUCUUUUGAAAACAUGAGAUGACUUGCUGUCAUCUCUAUGUCCAGACCGUCCACCUCCUCGAUGACCUCGACCACCUCUUCCUCUAUCACGUCCACCUCUUCCACGACCUCUUCCUCCUCGAGAACUUGAGGACUCAGAAACAAUGGAAGCUUUCAGAGCUGUUUGUUCUUCACUGGCAGUGGUGCGGUUAAGUCUUUGUUCAUGCACUAACAAAGAGCUUUGUAGUUCAUCAACUCGUAACUCAGCAACGUUCUUUGCCUCUUCAAUUGAACAGACAAUGUAGUCAAAUUUUGGAGUCAAUGAUCUCAUAAUUUUCUCCACAACUUUGACUUCUUCCAUGGUGCCACCAUUGGAUCUCAUCUUGCUUGCUAUUCCCAGAGUUCUAGCAAAGAAAUCAGUGAUGGACUCUCCUGAUUUCAUUUGUAAAGUUUCGAAGUCCCUUGUUAGAGUUUGAAGCACUGCACGCUUCACCCUCUCUGACCCUGCAUAUUUCUUCUUCAAAGAAUCCCAUAUUUGUUUGGAGGUCUCCUUCUCGAGUAUCGUCUCCAAGAUAGAUCGAUCAAGUGCCUGAAAAAGGUAAUUUUUCACCCUCAAGUCCUUCAGCUUCUGUUCAGCAACCCUCUUUUGUUGUUGUUCAGUCAACACAACUCCCUCUGCUGGGGCGUCAAUUCCUGAUUCCACAAGAUUCCAAUACUCCUUUGACCUGAGAAAAUUUUCCAUCAGCAUGCUCCAAUGGUCGUAGUGACCAUCAAAUCGUGGAAUCGCUGGUUGAAUAAAACUCUCAGUGGCUUUCUCUGUUGCCAUUGUUUCUUGCUGCUGCAAGACACAAUCUUUCACCUUUUUUUCAAGUUUGUUCAGGCCCAGAAGAGCUCUGAUACCAGAUGUUGAGAAACUGAAAUUAACUUAAACGUAAAAGGAUUCUUUGAGUAAACAUAUUUCACAGCAUAAGAAUACUGCAGUUUUCCUCUCUUAUAUACAUCUGAAAAACAAAGCUUACAAAAUAACAAUCUCCACAAUAACCACUAACACACAAGUGCAGAUUUUGUGGAGUUCAACUACCUUAAGCAACGGAAGCAAAUUUGAACGUGGUGAACAGACUAAACCACAACUUCUACAUUCUAGGACUUCAGCUUGACUUGGUCUCUACAUGGCCAUGUCAGCAUUAUUUAAUUAAAAAACUAAUUAAACUUAACUAAAUAACUUUUAACAAGUUAAUCAAAUAAAAUAAAAAUAAAACAACAAUUAGAAGGGUUGCAAUUAGAUAGGCUUGCUAGGCUCCAAGAGGUGCAAGACUGUCUUUUGAUUAAAGUUCAAGCUCCCAAGUCCAAAUUUGGGGCACCAACUAGCCUAUCUCAUUGCAGGCGCUUAACACUUGAAGGGACUGGCGCAAUGAUUUACUAGUAAAAUUUGUAAUAGCUUAAGACUUCGCUAGUAUCAUUUAGUAGUUACAAAUCACUUUACUUCGCCAGUAGUGAGUCCCAAUAUCGGCUGAAUUGCUCUUUCGCCAGUAUUAGUCUGUCGGUAUAAGCUAAAAUUGUAGUAGUGUAAGCUAAUUCUUGAUUUACUGUAAUUAUUCCCUUAUCGGUUAAAACUUCAAAUCAUCAAAGAAAAUCAAAGCACUCUCUAAGAAUUUCACCCUUUAAGAGUGCAUUGAGGCAAACCUAAAAAAAUUCUUCUUCAUCAUCAUCUUGUCACGCUUCCUGAAUCCACCAUAGGAGAUUUUAGUUUGGCCCUCUGGAUGUCCUCUUUUAGGUCUUUACGCACCGCUUCUUGGGGCUUAUCACUUGAGCUCCCAAAGAUCACUCUCUUAGCUUCAGCAAAACUUCCGUCGUGAUCUCGUUUGCGUUUCCCUAGGAUCUCCAAGGCCUCCAGCUGUUUUUGCAUCUCUUUAGAAUAAGAAGUUACCAUCUUUGAUAACUUUUCAUUUUCUGCCUGCAAUAUUUGAAGCUAGCGUUGAUUCUCCUCUGCUGUUUUUUCCUCUUUUUUUUUUUUUCAAUCUUUUGAUCUCACGCCGAUAUUCAUCAACCAAAUUCUGCUCUGCCACAACUAAGCUCUCAGUACUUGCACCUCAUAAGAUUUUGCAAUGAGGCGAUGCCCCACACUUGUGAUAGUUGUCGCAUUUUGCAAGCACAGUGCCACAACAUUGCUCACUAACCGGUUGUCAUCCCCCGUUCCUAGUAUGCAUACAUCCCUGGGAGUCACCAAACUCUUCGCAACUCCAAUGGCAACCUCGUUGUCAAGGAGUAACGAGUCGCUUUUUGUCACUGGUCCUCGUGAAGAAGCAAAGUAGGGUAUCCAGACUGGUGCAACUCCUUGCCCCUAUGUCUGUGUUGGCGGAGCUAGGUUAAGAUCCAAAGAAGAUGAGAAGGGAUACGACAUUUUCUUUCUGCUUUCUUUUUCUUUCAUUUUCUCUCUUUUCUCUUUCUUCUUUCCUUUCUCUUUUCUUUCUUUCUUUUCUCUCUUCUGCGUGGUUGUAAUUCUUCUUUUUCCUUUGUUUCCUUUAAUAGAUGAACCCUAGCACCAUUGCACCGUCUAAUUUUUCCGCAUUCCUUGAGCUCCACAGCCUUCUCGCUUUCCACCGUCUACAACUUUGUCGCGACUUGUGCAACGUCGUCCCUACUAUCCAUGGCACCCAUAAUUCCGCUUGUAGAUUUGUCGUACCUCUGCGCGUCGACACAUGUCUCCUCUCUCUAGGGGUGGGCAUUGGAUUUGUGGUUCAAAUUGAUUUAGGGUUGAUUAAAAUAAAAUGGCAGCCCUAGAAACAGUGACCAGGUAUCUAUCCCAUAUGACAUAAAACAUUUAAAAACAUCCAUGGGACUAUAUUUAAAAAAUCAACUUGAUAAUGUUUAGUUGGAUUGUAUAAUGUGUUUUGUUUUGUUUUGUUGGAUUAUAAAAUGUUUAAGUUUCUGUUUUUUUGUUUAUUUAUAAAAUCAUCCAUGGGACUUCAUUUUCGGUUCAAGGUUCCAUUUUUUUAAGAAACCAGUCCAAAUCGGACCAUGCCCACCCCUACCUCUCUGUCUCUUUUUUUGCUUUGUUUUCCUUCUCUCUCUCUCUCUCUCUCUCUCUCUCUCUCUCUCUCUCUCUCUCUCUCUCUCUUCCUUAUAUAUUCUCUCCUCUCUCUGUUUUUUUAUUUAAAUUUUUUCAAUUGUGAGUUUUGUAACAUGCAUGUUAUUUUAUUUAUGAACCCAUUACACGACUCCAAACUCACACAAAAAAAGACGACCCGAACCCAAGAAGACAUGUUUAUUAAAUGGGUUAGAUUCGGGUUGAGCAUUCUUGACACGUUUGUUAAUUGGAUUGGGUUAAAUAAAUCAAUGACAGCAUAAAAUGAACACAGGGUUUGUGAAAAAUGUGAUAUUUUCAAUGACUAUAUUAAUAAAUCUUUAUUUUUUGAGUAGUUAGAUUUUUGCACAAAGCUUACCUUCCUCAACUGAUAGCUGCAUUGAUCUUUUGUCUAGCUCAACGGCGUGUCUGCUAAGCUCAGAUGGUGAUAAUUGACGAAGCGCUGGCAACAUGAUGAACGAAGAGCAUUUUCAGUGCUGGCAAAACUAAAGGCAGAAAAAUUGUAUGAAAUUUUUUAAAUUGAAAGAGCAGUGCCAUAAUAAAAUGACCUACUCUGGAUCUAUUCUCUCUGAUCAGAAUCAUCAAAUUGCUUCAAGAGGUUCUUGAAAUGUAGAAACCCUUCUGUCCUUUGCUCAUCAUGGUUCUUCUCAGAACCAACCAAGUGAGGAACCAGAGAUUCAGGAGUGAAUCUAAGUUGCCUGGAAUGAGCAGCUGGCAAUCCAUUGGAACAGGUGGUUUACCAGGUGAAAAAUCUACCGGAGAAGCCAAGGGCAUUGGUGCGAACGCAGAUGUCUCAUGUUCCUGCUUCUUGGUUCUGUCUCUAGGUAGGUCUUGCUGCUUUUGCAAACAAUAUCGUUUGAAAUUGAGAGAGUAAGUAUUUUGUUCUCACACCUUUAACUCUUCGCUUGCCUAAUGCUGAAUCUAACUUCCUCGCACUACCACCAUGCAUGAGCUGAUCACUUGCACUGCUGAUGCUCGUGAAUUGGUGACAAGGGGAGCUCCGUGGCAACUCAGGGUUGAGUAUCUUAGUUCCCAAAACCUUAAUGGGAUGCGCGACUGGUCGUCCUAGAAAAACAUACUUGUUAGGGUUAGAGGUCCAUCGGAGUAGUCAUUAGCUGCUAAUCAACCCGAGAGAGAGAGAGAGAGAGAGAGAGAGAGAGAGAGAGAGAGAGAGAGAGAGAGAGAGAGAGCAAAGAAGAAAUGUGGGGCGUGUUUUUUUUUUCCUAAUCUUAUAAUUAAGCGUGUGUUUUCUAAAUCGGGGCAUGUGAGUUGUAUUAGUCGGGUAAUGAGAGUAUUAAAAACUUUCGUUUAAUAUAAUUCAGUAAUUAAGUAAUACAAGUUGACAUCAAACAAAUGACAUUGACUAUUUACUCAUAUCCAUAGUCUAAUACCAUGUACCAAACAUACCUAUACGAGCUUUUGCCACAUGACUCAUCUAACAUGACAAUCCAAGUCCACAAACACAAGCAUACACACUAAGACAGGACACUCAUAUGCAUGUGAACUACAAGAACGACUGCAUAAUAUCUUGUAUAGAAACAAGACAAUACAACCGGCGCUUAUUACAUUGGAACUACAGUUCACAUUACAUACCAAAUUUAGUAUAACACAGAUAGGAAUUCAAACAUUUGACUUGGCAUAACCCUCAAAUGCUUGGCCUCACAUUGAGACGGGAUAAAAGCUUUUGACCCAGAGACUUAUCUGCCUGCAUUGCCAAUACAAGCACAUAACAUCAGAACAACAUGGCUUAUUCUAAAACUAACCCUUCAUAUUCCAGUAUCACAUCAUCACGUUGCUUAACGGUACAAAUUCACAAAUGCAAUAAUUUAUAAAUAGACUCACCUGAGACCAGUAUGAGAUCCAAAUGCUGCGAAUCUCAUGGGUGACACGAGGGUCUGAUAGGGCAUCCACCCAUCGGCGGAUGAAUCGCUCUUGCCUGCAUGAAGAUGCAAGAUUAAGAACAAUGUUUAAAUACAAUUAUUUUCAUACAGAGACAUCACAGGGUUGCCAGGUACCUGUCUGGCGCCCAAGAUCUGUAUCUCUCUCCAGGUUGCUUAAAGUUGUUCUCCUUCUCAAUGACGCACUGAAUAACCAAAACAAAGUUCCCAUAUGAAUUAUUAUGUGCAGAAAACAAGGAAAAUCCAGAAAUGCAAUCGGUGCAUAUGUAUACACACACACACCUACACUAGUGUAUGUGCCCAGGUGACAGAAAAAGGGACACAGCUGGAAGAAAAGAUGAUGUACAGACGAGACGGGGAAACUAAGGUAUAUUAUUUAAAGCAAUAUUCCUCAAUUGAUAGAAACUGACCUUCUCACGCUUUCCAGAAAGGAUAUUAGAAGGAAUGGGGUAGCGCUCAGCAUGACGAACAGGAUCAUGCCUUGAAGGGAAGUAAUUAACCUGAAAAUAACAGUAUAGCAACUCAUCAGAGAAAACUCAAAUGAAUAAACAUGCAUACAAUUGGAGUUGUCCUCCCAGAAUAUUGAGCAAUCGAAGUAUACAAGGGCCAAAGCGAUUCCAUAUGAGACAUAACAAUUGAGUAAAAUAAUAAUACCUCCUCAUCCCUGUGCAUGAAAUUCAUGAAUCCCUCAUGAUGAUUGUUAUGAUGAGGACACUUGGGAGCAUUCACUGGGAGCUGCAGAUAGUUCGGGCCAAGACGGUGCCUCUGAGUAUCAGAAUAUGCGAAGAUUCGAGUUUGGAGCAUCUUAUCAUCUGAAUAGUAGAUACCAGGGACAACAUGGGCAGGGUUAAACGCAAGUUGUUCAUUCUCUGCAAAGAAGUUAUCGAUGUUUUUAUUCAGAACCAAACGGCCAACUGGCUGCAGGGGAAGGAUAUCUUCAGGCCAGGUCUUAGUUAAGUCAAGAGGGUCAAAGUCAAAUCUGUCCUCGUGAUCAGGAUCCAUUGUCUGAAUAUAAAGUUUCCACUCAGGGUAGUUGCCAGCUGCAAUGGAAUCAUAGAGGUCCUUGGUAGCAUGGCUGUGAUUAGCUCCUCCAACCUUAAUAGCUUCAUCCUCCAACAAACACUUGACUCCACAAGUAGGUUUCCAAUGAAAUUUCACAUAGUGUACUUUCCCUGCCUUACUGAUGAGGGUAUAGGCGUGAACACUAGAGCCUUCCAUGUGCCUGUAAUCUUGUGGAACUCCCAGAUCAUCAUAAAAGAAGGCGAACGUGUGCAGGCUUUCUGGAAGGUGGGAGAAGAAGUCAAGGAUCCUCCAAGUCUCUUGGAUGUGCGACUUGGGGUUCGGUUUGAAAGCACGGAUCGCGUCCGGGAAUUUCAUUGCAUCACGGACAAAAAAGACGGGGAAAUUGUUUCCAACCAGGUCAAAAUUACCCUGCGUUUAAGAAGAACAAAGUCACCACAUGAGUAAUUACUACACAGCAAAAUUAACCCGAAUAAAUUCGUAUAUGGUGAAUAAUGCUACAUGAGCAAUCUAUUACAGCCAGACGACUACCCCCUAUAAUUUAAAGGAAAAUGAAAAGGCAGAGCUAAGAAAGGAAUGAAUGCAAUCUUUCAUUAAAGUCACGAGACUGCAAGAUUUCCAAUAACUAUAAUUAGUCAAAUAUGACUUGAGUACUUCAGAUUUUGUCACCACAGCCACCUCAGCUGCCACUACAGAUACCAAUACAAAUCCAUUAAAUAUGCCUACACUAUUGAGAAAAUAAAUAAAACAUUGAUAAUAUAUAGGUAAAAACCUCACCUCUCUGGUGUAAAACUUCACUGCAAAACCACGAGGAUCCCUCAGGGUUUCAGGGCUGCCACGCUCAUGGAUAACAGUGGAGAAACGCACAAUGACAGGUGUCUGAACACCAGGGGCUCGAAGGAAGUCAGCACAAGUAAGCUGAGAAAUAUCAUGAGUGACCUCAAAGAAUCCCUUUGCACUGGCUCCCCUAGCAUGGACAACACGCUCUGGGAUUCGUUCUCUAUCAAAGGUGGCAAGUUUCUCCACCAGAUGAUAGUCCUCAAGGAGAACUGGACCUGAAAAAUAGAAACAGAAAUUUAAUUCGGAACUGCACCGACUCAACUCAUCAUAUUUAAUCAUCUAGAUUACAUGCAAAAAUAGCAUAAAAAUGAAAUUAAUUGUUAUGCGUUCCAGAACAUAAAAUAAAGAUGACUGUUGCUCGGUUGCAAAUAUUUGUAAUUUUUAUUUACAUUUAGAAGGUAGGGUUUCAGCCAACCAGAUUAUCUUGACAACCCAAAAGGAGGCUGGAGGAAUUAAACGAGAACCAACAGAGCGGGACAAUCAUUUUUCAACUAAAGUAAGUAGAAAUUUUAAAAUAAAGGGUUUACUACUGAAAUACCCCUUGAAAUUGUAGCUCACUUUCAAUUAGCCCUCUAUUCUUUUUUUUUUAGAAAAUUAAGGAUAAGAAUUUUUUUUUUCGGCCAAUUUCCCCCUGCCGUCUAAAUCCUCAACAUUUCUUCUAAUUUUCUGUUAAAUAUGAGGGCAUAUUGGUCAUUUCAAACAUUAAAAAUAAUAAAUAUAGAAUUAAAAAUUAAAAAUUGAAAUAAUAAUGAUAUAUUCACCCUAUGUUUGACAGCCACCAACAUCACACCCUCUCUUCGAUCUCUUUCCCCCUCCUCUUCAACAUCCACCAACAUCACCAUCCUCCACCCUCUGUCUCUUCUCCCCCCAUAUGCCCAUCCCCUCCUCCUUCUCCCUCCCACUCUCUUUUUGCGUCUCUCUCUCCCGAUGCCAAGGUUACAGAGAGGAAAACAAAAUUUAAUAAUAAACAUAUUGAGAUGUUUUGGGUGCCUGUUUAGGAUUUUGAUCUUGAAUUUUUUUUCUUUGGUGGCUGUUUGGCUGUUUGGGUUUCCUGGGGAGUAAGGUGAGGUUAAUAAUAAAGAUCUUCAAAUUUUUUGUGUGGCUAUUUAGGGUUUUGAUCUUGAAUAUAAAUUUUUUUUUGGGUGGUGUUUGAGUUUUUUGGGAGGUGAGGUUAUGGAUGUCGAAGAAAGAGGGAGACAUAAGGAGGAGGGGGAGGGUGAAAGGUGGGGGAAGAGAGAAGAGAGGGUGGGAGACACACUUUGUAGAUAACGAAAGGACGAAAAACAAAAAAGAAGAUCAAAACCCUAAAGCGUAAGGGAAUAGGGCGACAAAGUGAGAGAGAAGGAGGCAGGAGGAGGUGAGUCGGGGUGGGGCUGGUUGACCUCGGGAGAAGCAUCGGGCAGAGGAGGAGGGGGAGAAGAAAACCAGAGGGGAGGGGGAAGAAAAAAAACUGAUGAGAUAAGGUUUUAUUUUGUGUUAUCUUUUUCUUCUUUUUUCAAUUUUUUUUAAUGAUUUAAUAAAAAAUUGGAUAAAAUGUUGAGAUGUAGACCGCAGGGGAAAAUUAGCCAAAAAAAGAAAUUCAUAUCCUUAAUUUUCUAUAUAUAUAUAAAUAAAUAAAUAACAGAUAAGGGGUUAAUCGAAAAGGAUCAGCUUCAAAUACAAGAUAUAUAAGUAUAUAUAUACAUAUCUUAAAUCCCACAAGCGUUUCCAAAGAUUAAUCAUCCUCAACCUGGUAGUGGGCGGGAAUAACAUCCAAAAAGCAGUUUACAUCUCAUAAUCACAUGAAUAUCAAAAUCUUGUUCAAAAAAGUUGAGAAAACCAUCACAAAAAUUCAAAACCCAGGUAAGCGAAGAACCUAUGAUAACAAAGAUAAAUAUAUGCACACAAAUAGUGAACAGCAUCAUAAGAUAGAUAGAUGAUGAAGCGCAACUAAAAAUAAAAAAUAAAAAAACUGGGUUGCAAUUGAAAGCCCAGGAUCAAUCAACGAAGAGUUGUGAUGAAUUACCUCUAGGUCCAACAGUCAA